AUUGAACGCUGGCGGCAUGCUUUACACAUGCAAGUCGAACGGCAGCGCGGGCGUCGGCUUGGCGGCGCGUGGCGCACGGGGGAGUAAAGCAUCGGAACGUGCUCCGCUGCGGGGGAUAGCACGGCGAAAGCCGGAUUAAUAAUGCCUACGAGCUGCGGGUGUAAGCGGGGGCGGGAGAGGCUUCUUGCUUUUGGGGUGACCGAUGGCGGAUUAGCUAGUUGGUGGGGUAAAGGCCUAGCAAGGCGGCGAUCGGUAGCCGGUCUGAGAGGACGACCAGCCACACUGGGAGUGGGACAGGGCCCAGACGCCUACGGGAGGCAGCAGUGGGGAAUUUUGGACAAUGGGGGCGACCCUGAUCCAGCCAUGGCGCGUGCGGGAAGAAGGCCUUCGGGUUGUAAACCGCUUUUGUUCGGGAAGAAAUCCUCUGGGCUAAUACCCCGGGGGGAUGACGGUACCGGAAGAAUAAGCACCGGCUAACUACGUG
rnacentral:rRNA from 1 species